rnacentral:lncRNA from 1 species
AUGAGCCUUCAGACACCUGGGCUCACCCCCCCACAGGUCAACACUAUCAUCUCCAAACUCUGGGGUUCUAGUUCUGUGUCCCAGUGGAUGGAUAAAGUCAAUCCUUUGCUCUCUAGCACUCCACUCCUCAGUGUGAUCGCCCAAGUCCCUCAGCUGCUGAUCAGAGACACUGCUGUACACACUCGCCUCUGGAACACACAGCAGGUAUCGUCUAGUCCAGCCAUACACACUUCAUUUAUCAACCACAAUAACAGUACAAUUAUAGUUUUUUGAUAAUAUUAUAUAC